GGUUCGGUAGCUUACUUGGUAAAGCACUCGUUUAGCAUACAAGAGUCCUGGGUUCAAAUCCCAGCCAAGCAC
rfam:Aedes aegypti strain Liverpool supercont1.371 genomic scaffold, whole genome shotgun sequence.